AUUGAACGCUGGCGGCAGGCCUAACACAUGCAAGUCGAGCGAGCGGCGGACGGGUGAGUAAUGUCUGGGGAACUGCCCGAUAGAGGGGGAUAACUACUGGAAACGGUGGCUAAUACCGCAUACUAUCGGAUGUACCCAUAUGGGAUUAGCUAGUAGGUGGGGUAAAGGCUCACCUAGGCGACGAUCCCUAGCUGGUCUGAGAGGAUGACCAGCCACACUGGGACUGAGACACGGCCCAGACUCCUACGGGAGGCAGCAGUGGGGAAUAUUGCACAAUGGGCGCAAGCCUGAUGCAGCCAUGCCGCGUGUAUGAAGAAGGCCUUAGGGUUGUAAAGUACUUUCAGCGGGGAGGCGUUACCCGCAGAAGAAGCACCGGCUAACUCCGUGCCAGCAGCCGCGGUAAUAC
rnacentral:rRNA from 1 species